rnacentral:rRNA from 1 species
GACGAACGCUGGCGGCGUGCCUAAUACAUGCAAGUAGAACGUUGAAGGGAGAGCUUGCUCUUCUGGAUGAGCUGCGAACGGGUGAGUAACGCGUAGGUAACCUGCCUGGUAGCGGGGGAUAACUAUUGGAAACGAUAGCUAAUACCGCAUAACAGCAAAUGUUGCAUGACAUUUGCUUAAAAGGUGCAAUUGCAUCACUACCAGAUGGACCUGCGUUGUAUUAGCUAGUUGGUGGGGUAACGGCUCACCAAGGCGACGAUACAUAGCCGACCUGAGAGGGUGAUCGGCCACACUGGGACUGAGACACGGCCCAGACUCCUACGGGAGGCAGCAGUAGGGAAUCUUCGGCAAUGGACGGAAGUCUGACCGAGCAACGCCGCGUGAGUGAAGAAGGUUUUCGGAUCGUAAAGCUCUGUUGUAAGAGAAGAACAAGCGUGAGAGUGGAAAGUUCACACUGUGACAGUAUCUUACCAGAAAGGGACGGCUAACUACGUGCCAGCAGCCGCGGUAAUACGUAGGUCCCGAGCGUUGUCCGGAUUUAUUGGGCGUAAAGCGAGCGCAGGCGGUUAGAUAAGUCUGAAGUUAAAGGCUGUGGCUUAACCAUAGUACGCUUUGGAAACUGUUUAACUUGAGUGCAAGAGGGGAGAGUGGAAUUCCAUGUGUAGCGGUGAAAUGCGUAGAUAUAUGGAGGAACACCGGCGGCGAAAGCGGCUCUCUGGCUUGUAACUGACGCUGAGGCUCGAAAGCGUGGGGAGCAAACAGG